rnacentral:rRNA from 1 species
CCUACGGGAGGCAGCAGUGGGGAAUUUUGGACAAUGGGCGCAAGCCUGAUCCAGCAAUGCCGCGUGCAGGAUGAAGGCCUUCGGGUUGUAAACUGCUUUUGUACGGAACGAAACGGCCUACUCUAAUACAGUGGGCUAAUGACGGUACCGUAAGAAUAAGCACCGGCUAACUACGUGCCAGCAGCCGCGGUAAUACGUAGGGUGCGAGCGUUAAUCGGAAUUACUGGGCGUAAAGCGUGCGCAGGCGGUUAUAUAAGACAGAUGUGAAAUCCCCGGGCUCAACCUGGGACCUGCAUUUGUGACUGUAUAGCUAGAGUGCGGCAGAGGGGGAUGGAAUUCCGCGUGUAGCAGUGAAAUGCGUAGAUAUGCGGAGGAACACCGAUGGCGAAGGCAAUCCCCUGGGCCUGCACUGACGCUCAUGCACGAAAGCGUGGGGAGCAAACAGGAUUAGAUACCCUGGUAGUCCACGCCCUAAACGAUGUCAACUGGUUGUUGGGUCUUCACUGACUCAGUAACGAAGCUAACGCGUGAAGUUGACCGCCUGGGGAGUACGGCCGCAAGGUUGAAACUHAAAGGAAUUGACGG